rnacentral:tRNA from 1 species
GGGAAUGUGGCUUAGUGGUAGAGUGCUUGCCUAGAAUGCAAGAAGCCUUAGGCUCGAUUCCUCAGCAUCA